rnacentral:misc_RNA from 1 species
CCUUAAAGAACCUGCCUUUGUAGUGCUCACACAGAUUGUCUGAUGAACGUAAAGAAGCAAGGCGUCUUGCGAUUGAGACUUCAGUGUCCCCUUCGUCUAGAGGCCCAGGACACCGCCCUUUCACGGCGGUAACAGGGGUUCGAAUCCCCUAGGGGACGCCACUUGCUGGUUCGUGAGUGAAAGACGCGUGCCGACGUAUCUCAAAACUCAUCUUCGGGUGACGUUUGAGAUAUUUGCUCUUUAAAAAUCUGGAUCAAGCUGAAAAUUGAAACGACACACAGUUAAUGUGUGUUCGAGUCUCUCAAAUUUUCGCAAUCAGAAGUGAAACAUCUUCGGGUUGUGA